GACGAACGCUGGCGGCGUGCCUAAUACACGCAAGUUGAGCGAUGAAGCUUGGUGCUUGCACCAAUUUGAAGAGCAGCGAACGGGUGAGUAACGCGUGGGGAAUCUGCCUUUGAGCGGGGGACAACAUUUGGAAACGAAUGCUAAUACCGCAUAACAACUUUAAACAUAAGUUUUAAGUUUGAAAGAUGCAAUUGCAUCACUCAAAGAUGAUCCCGCGUUGUAUUAGCUAGUUGGUGAGGUAAAGGCUCACCAAGGCGAUGAUACAUAGCCGACCUGAGAGGGUGAUCGGCCACAUUGGGACUGAGACACGGCCCAAACUCCUACGGGAGGCAGCAGUAGGGAAUCUUCGGCAAUGGACGAAAGUCUGACCGAGCAACGCCGCGUGAGUGAAGAAGGUUUUCGGAUCGUAAAACUCUGUUGGUAGAGAAGAACGUUGGUGAGAGUGGAAAGCUCAUCAAGUGACGGUAACUACCCAGAAAGGGACGGCUAACUACGUG
rnacentral:rRNA from 1 species